GAAAUAAAAUAAUUUAAACUUCUAAUUUAAAAUUCAAGUGUAAUAUACAUUUAUAUUUCU
rnacentral:tRNA from 1 species